GGGACACGUGGUAUCCUGUCUGAAUAUGGGGGGACCAUCCUCCAAGGCUAAAUACUCCUGACUGACCGAUAGUGAACCAGUACCGUGAGGGAAAGGCGAAAAGAACCCCGGCGAGGGGAGUGAAAAAGAACCUGAAACCGUGUACGUACAAGCAGUGGGAGCACCUUCGGGUGUGACUGCGUACCUUUUGUAUAAUGGGUCAGCGACUUAUAUUCUGUAGCAAGGUUAACCGUAUAGGGGAGCCGCAGGGAAACCGAGUCUUAACUGGGCGUUAAGUUGCAGGGUAUA
rnacentral:rRNA from 1 species